AACAGGCGGUGUUUGGCUGCCAUUCAGGCAUCACCUUAUACUACGUACUGGCCCUAAGUAGUGUAAUGUGGAACUGAUAAAAAUGGGGUGUCAGGACUGCUGAGUUGAGCGAUACUCAUCCUACCACCGAGACUGUGUUGCUCCGCGGGGACGCCCGCUAAGCAUGGGUACCGACCAGCUGCUGCAGAUCCUGGUAGCCCUGGCCUGUCUGUGUGGCACUUAAAUAUCAAGCCAG